rnacentral:rRNA from 1 species
CCUAACACACAUGCAAGUCGAGCGGUAGCACAGAGAGCUUGCUCUCGGGUGACGAGCGGCGGACGGGUGAGUAAUGUCUGGGAAACUGCCUGAUGGAGGGGGAUAACUACUGGAAACGGUAGCUAAUACCGCAUAACGUCGCAAGACCAAAGUGGGGGACCUUCGGGCCUCAUGCCAUCAGAUGUGCCCAGAUGGGAUUAGCUAGUAGGUGGGGUAACGGCUCACCUAGGCGACGAUCCCUAGCUGGUCUGAGAGGAUGACCAGCCACACUGGAACUGAGACACGGUCCAGACUCCUACGGGAGGCAGCAGUGGGGAAUAUUGCACAAUGGGCGCAAGCCUGAUGCAGCCAUGCCGCGUGUGUGAAGAAGGCCUUCGGGUUGUAAAGCACUUUCAGCGGGGAGGAAGGCGGUGAGGUUAAUAACCUCAUCGAUUGACGUUACCCGCAGAAGAAGCACCGGCUAACUCCGUGCCAGCAGCCGCGGUAAUACGGAGGGUGCAAGCGUUAAUCGGAAUUACUGGGCGUAAAGCGCACGCAGGCGGUCUGUCAAGUCGGAUGUGAAAUCCCCGGGCUCAACCUGGGAACUGCAUUCGAAACUGGCAGGCUAGAGUCUUGUAGAGGGGGGUAGAAUUCCAGGUGUAGCGGUGAAAUGCGUAGAGAUCUGGAGGAAUACCGGUGGCGAAGGCGGCCCCCUGGACAAAGACUGACGCUCAGGUGCGAAAGCGUGGGGAGCAAACAGGAUUAGAUACCCUGGUAGUCCACGCCGUAAACGAUGUCGAUUUGGAGGUUGUGCCCUUGAGGCGUGGCUUCCGGAGCUAACGCGUUAAAUCGACCGCCUGGGGAGUACGGCCGCAAGGUUAAAACUCAAAUGAAUUGACGGGGGCCCGCACAAGCGGUGGAGCAUGUGGUUUAAUUCGAUGCAACGCGAAGAACCUUACCUGGUCUUGACAUCCACAGAACUUUCCAGAGAUGGAUUGGUGCCUUCGGGAACUGUGAGACAGGUGCUGCAUGGCUGUCGUCAGCUCGUGUUGUGAAAUGUUGGGUUAAGUCCCGCAACGAGCGCAACCCUUAUCCUUUGUUGCCAGCGGUUCGGCCGGGAACUCAAAGGAGACUGCCAGUGAUAAACUGGAGGAAGGUGGGGAUGACGUCAAGUCAUCAUGGCCCUUACGACCAGGGCUACACACGUGCUACAAUGGCAUAUACAAAGAGAAGCGACCUCGCGAGAGCAAGCGGACCUCAUAAAGUAUGUCGUAGUCCGGAUUGGAGUCUGCAACUCGACUCCAUGAAGUCGGAAUCGCUAGUAAUCGUAGAUCAGAAUGCUACGGUGAAUACGUUCCCGGGCCUUGUACACACCGCCCGUCACACCAUGGGAGUGGGUUGCAAAAGAAGUAGGUAGCUUAACCUUCGGGAGGGCGCUUACCACUUUGUGAUU